rnacentral:rRNA from 1 species
AUUGAACGCUGGCGGCAGGCCUAACACAUGCAAGUCGAGCGGAUGAAGGGAGCUUGCUCCUGGAUUCAGCGGCGGAUGGGUGAGGAAUGCCUAGGAAUCUUCCUGGUAGGGGGGGAUAACGUCCGGAAACGGGCGCUAAUACCUCAUACGUUCUGAGGGAGAAAGUGGGGGAUCUUCGGACCUCACGCUAUCAGAGGAGCCUAGGCCGGAUUAGAUAGUUGGUGGGGUAAAGGCCUACCAAGGCAACGAUCCGUAACUUGUCUGAGAGGAUGAUCAGCUCCCCUAGACCUGAGACACGGUAGAGACUCCUACGGGACGCAGCGGUGGGGAAUAUAAGACAAUGGGAGGAAGGCUAGUCCAAACCAGCCGCGUGUGUGACGAAGAUCAUCCGAUUGUAAAGCAAAUCUAGUUGGGAGGAAGGGCAGUAAGUUAAUCCCUUACUGUUAUGACGUUACCAAAAGAAUAAGCACCGGCUAACUUCGUG